CCGGGUGCUUCAGGGUCCGAGAACCUGCAGAAGUUCACACUUAAAUCCUACACGAGAGUCGUAUUUAUGAUGCAGAACUCGAUGGAGAAACGGAGGCCCAGGGAAGGGAUGUGCCCGAGGUCAUACAAAGAAGUUUGUGGGAAUCCAGGUCUGACUCGCACUCAAUCUAGUGCUCUAAUAAUGACUUGAGUGAAUUGUAUGAAUGUGCUCAGAGGUGGAGCAGCAAUCAUAAAAGUAAUAAUGGUACCAUUUAUGGACCAUCUAACUACUGUGUUAAAACAAUUUACAGGCCAUGCGCGGUGGCUCACGCUUGUAAUCCCAGCACUUUGGGAGGCCGAGGCGGGCAGAUCACGAAGUCAGAAGAUCGAGACCAUCCUGGCUAACACGGGACUCAAGACUGGAAUGGGAAGAGCAUGAAAUUGAGCUGUCUAUCCCCCUGGAUCUCUCAUUGCCACCUGCCCAUAGGUUGGCUGCACCCCUCCACCAAAGAAAGGCCAUGACUCCUUCCUGGCAGCCCUGUCUUACAGCUACUCUCUGGUGAUCUGGGAACCACUCCCUCCCUUACCCCUUGAUGCCUAGGGCUAGUGCCAGCACCUUGUUGUUGUUAGCCUCAGAGGCACUUGCACUGUUCCUUGAUGGUUUUCCCAAAUCUUGCCCUCAUCUUUGUAAAUACUGUUUGCCGUUUAUUACACUGUCAUCAUAUUACCCAA
rnacentral:lncRNA from 1 species